UAUUGCACAAUGGGCGGAAGCCUGAUGCAGCAACGCCGCGUGAGGGAUGGCGGCCUUUGGGUUGUAAACCUCUUUCAGCAGGGAAGAAGCGCAAGUGACGGUACCUGCAGAAGAAGCACCGGCUAACUACGUUCCAGCAGCCGCGGUAAUACGUAGGGUGCGAGCGUUGUCCGGAAUUAUUGGGCGUAACGAGCUAGUAGGCGGUCUGUCGCGUCUGCUGUGAAAAUCCGGGGCUCAACCCCGGACUUGCAGUGGGUACGGGCAGACUAGAGUGUGGUAGGGGAGACUGGAAUUCCUGGUGUAGCGGUGAAAUGCGCAGAUAUCAGGAGGAACACCGAUGGCGAAGGCAGGUCUCUGGGCCAUAACUGACGCUGAGAAGCGAAAGCAUGGGGAGCGAACCG
rnacentral:rRNA from 1 species